GAUCAUGGCUCAGGAUGAACGCUAGCUACAGGCUUAACACAUGCAAGUCGAGGGGCAGCAUGAGAUUAGCUUGCUAAUCUUGAUGGCGACCGGCGCACGGGUGAGUAACGCGUAUCCAACCUUCCCCUUAGUAGGGCAUAGCCCGGCGAAAGUCGGAUUAAUACCCUAUGUUCUUCGUAGAGGACAUCUGAAAUGAAGCAAAGAUUUAUCGCUAAGGGAUGGGGAUGCGUCUGAUUAGGUAGUCGGCGGGGUAACGGCCCACCGAGCCUGCGAUCAGUAGGGGUUCUGAGAGGAAGGUCCCCCACAUUGGAACUGAGACACGGUCCAAACUCCUACGGGAGGCAGCAGUGAGGAAUAUUGGUCAAUGGGCGGGAGCCUGAACCAGCCAAGUAGCGUGCAAGGAUGACGGCCCUACGGGUUGUAAACUGCUUUUAUGCGGGGAUAAAGUGCGGCACGUGUGCCGCUUUGCAGGUACCGCAUGAAUAAGGACCGGCUAAUUCCGUGCCAGCCGCCGC
rnacentral:rRNA from 1 species